AGAUUGAACGCUGGCGGCGUGCUUAACACAUGCAAGUCGAGCGGUAACGCGGGAGCAAUCCUGGCGAUGAGCGGCGAACGGGUGAGUAAUGCUUGGGAAUCUGCCCAUUAGUGAGGAACAACCAGCCGAAAGGUUGGCUAAUACCGCAUACGCCCUACGGGGGAAAGCGGGGGAUCGUAAGACCUCGCGCUAUUAGAUGAGCCGAAGUCGGAUUAGCUAGUUGGUAGGGUAACGGCCUACCAAGGCGACGAUCCGUAGCUGGUCUGAGAGGACGACCAGCCACACUGGGACUGAGACACGGCCCAGACUCCUACGGGAGGCAGCAGUGGGGAAUAUUGGACAAUGGGGGAAACCCUGAUCCAGCGACGCCGCGUGUGUGAAGAAGGCCUGCGGGUUGUAAAGCACUUUUAGUGGGGAUGAAAGCCUAGGGCUAAUACCCUUGGGUCUUGACCUAACCCAAGAAAAGCACCGGCUAACUCUGUGCCAGCAGCCGC
rnacentral:rRNA from 1 species